UCUUUUCUUUUGAUAAGAGAGUUUUUAAAACCAGUGUUAUUUUUGUAAGUUUAAGAGAAGUUUGUGUAUUGAAUUUUUUAUUUUUAAUAUUAAAGAGCUUUGUUAAACUUAGACUUAAGUUUAGGUCAUUUUGGGGGUUUAGCUCAGUUGGCUAGAGCAUCGGCUUUGCAAGCCGAGGGUCAAGGGUUCGAGUCCCUUAACCUCCAUUGGGCUUAUGUCCUAAAUUGUAAUUAAGUAUGUUUUUAAGCAACUUUGUUAAAGUAAUUGUUGGAAUGUGAAACAGAGGAAGUUAAAAUUUCUGGGUUAAGUUGAGAUCUGUUGAUAUUAAGAAGAAUCUCUAGAAGCAAAAGCAAGCUUUCGAUAAAACCCGAAGUUGUUUCGCUAAAGUGCAAGGAUUAAACAGGAUUGUAUUUUCCAGCAGCCUAUUUUAUAAACGAUCUGCAUUUAGUAAAUAGUUUUUAGUUAAGAAAUAAUGUAGAUUGCUAAGCGUGAUGUC
rnacentral:misc_RNA from 1 species